CCCGCCUCUAACCCUUCUACAAGAAGAGCGUUGCUCAAGGCCUGCCUUUUUGGGGAGCCGUCCUCCUCCUAGGGCCCAUCACUGGGCUCCCAAGGGCGGCAGAGCUUUUGUUUCAGCUCUGUCACUUAAAGGCAGGGUAACCUACGCAUGCCACCUAAAUCCCGCGCUACAGUUUUCCUAGUCUAUAUCAUUACUAAUAAUAGCCACCUUGUCGCCUCUUGACUGUUCGGAGGAUCAAAUGAGCUGAGGGCGGAAAUGGCAGCUUGCCGAAGUGGGUUUUCUUCGGGGUCUUACAACUCACCAACAAGGGAGCAAACCCUCCUGCGUUGACGAGCUCCUUGUUGGAGCCCCUCCCUCAUCCCAGUGUUGGACCUCCACCUGCUGACACCACGAGCUUAGGGCCGGACUGACCCCAAGGCUUGCCACUACCGGCCUCAAGCCCCACGAUUCCAAAGGCAUGGAAUACUACUCUAUUAAUAGAAAUGGAAAAUGAUGUUUUUGAAUUCACUCCUCAAAAUACAUUCACAGCUAUCUCAAAGGCCCUGGGACCAAGACGGAUGGAAGGAUUUCCCCCCAUUUCAAAGCAGACUGCGCUGAGCAAGGAGCAGCCUCUCCAGAAGGAAUAUCAGCUUCUGUCCCAACUUCACAUCCUGUAACAAUUAUGGAGUGUCAUCAACAAUUUUAAACAUUGUCCCAGUCGCAUGUGUAAUUCUGGACCUACUGGUCCUUAGUGUAAAU